CUGAUAUCCAUCUCACCCGCUUCUAAGUGUCCGUCACAGCCGGCGUGGAAACCUGGAAGUUCCCUCCAGAUUUCACAACGCUUAGUUUCCAAUCUCCUUAUGUUUCAGGUCUUGGAUCUGUUCCUGGGCUCCUGCACACUGAUAUCCAUCUCACCCGCUUCAAAGUGUCCAUCAUAGCCGGCGUGGAAACCUGGAAGUUCCCUCCAGAUUGCACAAUGCUUUCUUUACACUCUCCUUGUGUUUCAGGUCUUGGAUCUCUUUGUGGGCUCCUGCUCACUGGUAUCCAUCUCACCCGCUUGUAACUAUCAAUUACAGCCUUCGUGGAAACCUGGGGGUUCCCUCCAGAUUUCACAACGCUUUCUUUCCAAUCUCCUUAUGUUUCAGGUCUUGGAUCUCUUCCUGGGCUCCUGCACUCUGAUAUCCAUCUCACCCGCUUGUAACUAUCAAUUACAGCCUUCGUGGAAACCUGGGGGUUCCCUCCAGAUUUCACGACGCUUUCUUUCCAAUCUCCUUCUGUUUCAGGUCUUGGAUCUGUUCCUGGGCUCCUGCUCACUGGUAUCCAUCUCACCCGCUUGUAAUUGUGCGUCACAGCCGGCGUGGAAACCUGGAGGUUCCCUCCAGAUUUCACAACGCUGUUUUUCCAAUCUCCUUGUGUUUCAGGUCUUGGAUCUGUUCCUGGGCUCCUGCACUCUGAUAUCCAUCUCACCCGCUUGUAAGUGUCCGUCACAACCAGCGUGGAAACCUGGAGGUUCCCUCCAGAUUUCACAACGCUGUCUUUCCAAUCGCCUUGUGUUUCAGGUCUUGGAUCUGUUCGUGGGCUCCUGCACUCUGAUAUCCAUCUCACCCGCUUGUAAGUAUCCGUCACAACCAGCGUGGAAACCUGGAGGUUCCCUUCAGAUUUCACAAUGCUUUCUUUCAAAUCUACUUAUGUUUCAGGUCUUGG
ensembl:lncRNA